CCGCAGGUGGCAGAGCGGUAAUGCAACGGUCUGUAAAACCGUAUUAGAUAGGUUCGAUUCCUAUCCUGCGGA
rnacentral:tRNA from 1 species